rnacentral:misc_RNA from 1 species
AUUACAUUGAGAAUAAAUUCCAAUUAAAAAAAAACACACAAAUCAGCACAUUUUACAAGGGGAAGUAACUUUCGGAGGAAGGGGAAAAGGAGAAAAAGAAAUUCUCAGUCAUAUGAAGGUUGCAAGGUUUACAGAGAUUGCAAGGUGACUAACCUCACAAAGAUUGAAGGCAGUGUACAACUGAUGGGCAGUGAUGGAAGCACAAUCAGCAUGCCCACCAAAAACAUCACGGAUACAGAAGACAAUCAAACGGAGUGAUUUGACUUGUCUGAUCUGUGACCUGUAUUGUUGUUCAACAUAAUUUCUCUUAUGGUUGCAUUGUUUCAUCUACAGCAAUCUUUGCUAUCAAACAACAUUUGAGCUCGUAGGGUUAUCAGACAAUAAAUGAAUAUAAUACUGGGUAACAAAUCUACUUUCUCCAUUAUGCAUACUCAGGAUUGAGUGCCAAGGCCUCUCUGUAAAUCAUUUCCUUCAUCUGCUCUUCUACCAAGGGCUGUUGCUCAAAAUCAAAAGAGAAUGGCACUGGGCACACUGGUUCAUCAGCUAUGUCAUGUAACCUUGCCAGAUAGGGAUGCGCUAAUGCUUCUUCAACAGUAAUUCUUCUUGUGGGAUCAAAUGUUAACAUUCGAUCAAUAAGAUCAAUGGCCAAAGGAUGAACAUGAGGGAAAACUUGGGCUAAAGGCUGACGAGGAUAUUGACUUAGUUGUCGGAUGUAUCUUCUAGCAUCUUCAUUCUUGACAAACCCAAGAUCUGCUUCAGUUGGCGUGCCAAGAAGCUCUGUUAAUAGGCGCAACUGAUGCACAUGAUCUUUGCCUGGAAAUAAAGGCUUUCUGUUCAUAAGUUCCAUAAAGAUGCAACCCACAGACCACACAUCUAUUGCAGCAGUGUAGUCUGAAGAGUUAAGCAAAAGCUCAGGUGCUCUAUACCAUCUGGUAACAACAUAUUCUGUCAUAAAUUCAUUCUCUGAAGUUGGCCGAGCUAAACCAAAAUCACAUAUCUUUAAGUCGCAAUUUGCAUUUAACAGCAAAUUACUGGGUUUUAGAUCUCUAUGAAUAAUAUUAGCAGAGUGUAUGCAUUUCAGCCCUCGAAGAAUCUGAUACAGGAAGUACUGACAAUGCUCCUCUGACAAACUUUGGUUGGAGCGUAUAAUCUGAUGAAGAUCAGUGUCCAUGAGCUCUGUGGCAAUGUAGACAUCAGUAAAUUCUCUUCGUAAAGGUGGAGGAAUUACAUCUCUGAUAGCUACAACGUUCUCGUGAUCAAAAUGGCGAAGCAACUUAAUCUCUCGAAGCGUGCGUUUGGCGUCCAUAUGAUUUUCAAAAGCGUUAGCUAUCUUCUUUAUCGCUACCAUCUCAUUCGUCUCCGAAUUCAACACCGAACAGACAAUACCAUAAGCGCCACGGCCGAUCGGCAUGAUAGGAGGCCGAUAUUUCGACGUGAUUUCGAAAAGAUUACCGAAAAUGUUGUAUUGGACAAACUGGCCUCCGUGAGUUGGAACCGCCGGAAAUUCGCCGUCAGCCAUUUCCUUCCUCUAUAUGUCUCUCUCUCUCUUUCUAUUUGUGUAUAUCUCUCUCUGCUGAGACUCCUAUGAAAUUUAUACAAGUGAAAGAGGAGACUUAGUUUCUCAUUUUGACUUUAUUAAUAUUUAUUUCUAUUUUCGAAUAAUGAAAAAAAUAAAUAAAUAAAGGAUUUGUGACUUCGAGAGUGCUGCCUGUUUGAGUUCGGAGAAGAUGCUAGGAAAGAGAAAGGAAAACGGGCGAGAAACAAGAUUAAAGAGUCUGGGACACGUUGU